CGGAUUGAAGCAACUGUGACUGAGCGGCGGACGGGUGAGAAACGCGUGGGUAACCUGCCUCAUACAGGGGGAUAACAGUUGGAAACGGCUGCUAAUACCGCAUAAGCGCACAGUACCGCAUGGUACCGUGUGAAAAACUCCGGUGGUAUGAGAUGGACCCGCGUCUGAUUAGGUAGUUGGUGGGGUAACGGCCUACCAAGCCGACGAUCAGUAGCCGACCUGAGAGGGUGACCGGCCACAUUGGGACUGAGACACGGCCCAAACUCCUACGGGAGGCAGCAGUGGGGAAUAUUGCACAAUGGGGGAAACCCUGAUGCAGCGACGCCGCGUGAGCGAUGAAGUAUUUCGGUAUGUAAAGCUCUAUCAGCAGGGAAGAAAAUGACGGUACCUGACUAAGAAGCCCCGGCUAACUACGUGCCAGCAGCCGCGGUAAUACGUAGGGGGCAAGCGUUAUCCGGAUUUACUGGGUGUAAAGGGAGCGUAGACGGCAUGGCAAGCCAGAUGUGAAAGCCCGGGGCUCAACCCCGGGACUGCAUUUGGAACUGUCAGGCUAGAGUGUCGGAGAGGAAAGCGGAAUUCCUAGUGUAGCGGUGAAAUGCGUAGAUAUUAGGAGG
rnacentral:rRNA from 1 species